rnacentral:rRNA from 1 species
AUGGCGACCGGCGCACGGGUGAGUAACACGUAUCCAACCUGCCGAUGACUCGGGGAUAGCCUUUCGAAAGAAAGAUUAAUACCCGAUGGCAUAGUUCUUCCGCAUGGUGGAACUAUUAAAGAAUUUCGGUCAUCGAUGGGGAUGCGUUCCAUUAGGUUGUUGGCGGGGUAACGGCCCACCAAGCCUUCGAUGGAUAGGGGUUCUGAGAGGAAGGUCCCCCACAUUGGAACUGAGACACGGUCCAA